rnacentral:lncRNA from 1 species
CCCUGCCCAGGGUCCAGCCUUGUCUUAGUAAACAUUCAUCUCCCUGACUCAGGCUGCUGCUUAGAAAUUCUGUUUCGGUUGCAGUUCCAUUGUGUGGAGCCAGUACUACAACUUUUCCUCCUGCAUUCAUUUCUCUUCCUGCUGCCUUGUGAAGAAGGUGCCUUGCUUCCCCUUCACCUUCUACGGUGAUUGCAAGUUGCCUGAGGAUUCCCCAGCCAUGUGAAACUGGACAUGGAUGAAGCUGGAGACCAUCAUUCUCAGCAAACUAACACAAGAACAGAAAACCAAACACCACAUGUUCUCACUGGUGAGGACACAAUAGGAUGACCAUCAGCAAACCAGGAAUAAUGCCCUCAACAGACAUCUGAUCUGCUGACACCUUGAUCUUGGACUUCUAAUUCUGCAGAACUUUAUCAAGGACUCCGUUCUCCCUCUCCAAGCUGACAAGAAAACUACACCAGAUUUGACCACCACUUCCUCUACACUC